CCCGGUGGUCAUGGCGUGGGUGCCACUCCCGAUCCCAUCCCGAACUCGGCCGAGAAACCCCACAGCGUCGAUGGUACUGCGUCUCAAGGCGUGGGAGAGUAGAACGCCGCCGGGU
rnacentral:rRNA from 1 species